GAAAGAAUAAGCUAAGUUUAAGCUAAUGGGCUCAUACCCCAGCGAUGGACAAAAGUCCUUCUUUUA
rnacentral:tRNA from 1 species